GAUGAACGCUGGCGGCGUGCCUAAUACAUGCAAGUCGAGCGAAUGGAUUAAGAGCUUGCUCCUAUGAAGUUAGCGGCGGACGGGUGAGUAACACGUGGGUAACCUGCCCAUAAGACUGGGAUAACUCCGGGAAACCGGGGCUAAUACCGGAUAACAUUUUGAACCGCAUGGUUCGAAAUUGAAAGGCGGCUUCGGCUGUCACUUAUGGAUGGACCCGCGUGGCAUUAGCGAGUUGGUGAGGUAACGGAUCACCAAGGCAACGAUGCGUAGCCGACCUGAGAGGGUGAUCGGCCACACUGGGACUGAGACACGGCCCAGACUCCUACGGGAGGCAGCAGUAGGGAAUCUUCCGCAAUGGACGAAAGUCUGACGGAGCAACGCCGCGUGAGUGAUGAAGGCUUUCGGGUCGUAAAACUCUGUUGUUAGGGAAGAACAAGUGCUAGUUGAAUAAGCUGGCACCUUGACGGUACCUAACCAGAAAGCCACGGCUAACUACGUGCCAGCAACCGCCGCAG
rnacentral:rRNA from 1 species